rnacentral:rRNA from 1 species
UACGUAGGGUGCGAGCGUUAAUCGGAAUUACUGGGCGUAAAGCGUGCGCAGGCGGUUCGUUGUGUCGGCGGUGAAAGCCCCGGGCUCAACCUGGGAAUGGCCGUUGAAACUGGCGAACUGGAGUGUGGCAGAGGGGGGUGGAAUUCCGCGUGUAGCAGUGAAAUGCGUAGAGAUGCGGAGGAACACCGAUGGCGAAGGCAGCCCCCUGGGCUGAGAUUGACGCUCAGGCACGAAAGCGUGGGGAGCAAACAGG